CCUACGGGGGGCAGCAGUAGGGAAUCUUCGACAAUGGGCGCAAGCCUGAACGAGCAAUGCCGCGUGAACGAGGAAGGGCUUCGGAUCGUAAAGCUCUGUUGAAGGGGAAAAAGAGCGGAGAGAGGAAAUGGUCACCGAUUGAUAGUACCCUACGAGGAAGUCACGGCUAACUACGUGCCAGCAGCCGCGGUAAUACGUAGGUGGCGAGCGUUAUCCGGAAUGAUUGGGCGUAAAGGGUGCGUAGGCGGCCUGCUAAGGCUGGAGUGAAAGGUAUCGGCUCAACCG
rnacentral:rRNA from 1 species